CGAACGCUGGCGGCGUGCCUAAUACAUGCAAGUAGAACGCUGAAGAGAGGAGCUUGCUCUUCUUGGAUGAGUUGCGAACGGGUGAGUAACGCGUAGGUAACCUGCCUUGUAGCGGGGGAUAACUAUUGGAAACGAUAGCUAAUACCGCAUAACAAUGGAUUACACAUGUCAUUUAUUUGAAAGGGGCAAUUGCUCCACUACAAGAUGGACCUGCGUUGUAUUAGCUAGUAGGUGAGGUAACGGCUCACCUAGGCGACGAUACAUAGCCGACCUGAGAGGGUGAUCGGCCACACUGGGACUGAGACACGGCCCAGACUCCUACGGGAGGCAGCAGUAGGGAAUCUUCGGCAAUGGGGGCAACCCUGACCGAGCAACGCCGCGUGAGUGAAGAAGGUUUUCGGAUCGUAAAGCUCUGUUGUAAGUCAAGAACGAGUGUGAGAGUGGAAAGUUCACACUGUGACGGUAGCUUACCAGAAAGGGACGGCUAACUAC
rnacentral:rRNA from 1 species